rnacentral:lncRNA from 1 species
UUUCAAUCAAAGAGCUAUUUCAACGAUUCCCAUGUUUGUAGUUCGAAAGGAAAAGGAUCCCAGGAAAUUUAUUCGAACCUAAUUCUUACUAAAUUUUCUAUUCCAAUCAAUGGCCUCUUCCUAGGUGAUACUGAGGAGGGCCGGACCCGUUUUUUAUUUGGUUCUCUCUUUACUGUUCAAAGAAAAAGUGGUUUUGUUAAGUGUAUACGCACUUUGUAUGAGAAAGAAAGGAUAUAAACAUAGUGGUUGUCUAACGAGAUACUAUUUAGAAUAAGAUCGUCAGGUGAGUCACAUAUUGCGCAUUUACCUUUCGAAUUUUGGAAAUUGGAUUUAGACUUUAUCGACUUAUUUCAUAUCAUGGUUCAGGCCUUAAAAAUCAGUGAGGUUUACUCUUCCUUUUCGAUGCCCGUGGAACUACUGUCAAUGGUUUACUUCUUAGGAAUGUUAAAAAAAAAAAAGAUUACUACGUGAUUUUUUGAAUAUGCCUAUAUCUAUCGCUUUUGCUUCAUUGAUUUGAUUCUCUCAAUAGAUACUGAGAUUCAUAUUGGAAAUCAAAAAUAUAGUAAUUCAAACUAUAAGACAUAGGAGUAAUUCAGAUUGAUCAGAACAAAUAGAUAUAGCAAAUAAAUGGAAUUGGAUGCUAUGUCAAUCCCAUAUAUGGAAUUGAUAUUCACAUAUAUCAAGAUAAUAUUGUAGAUUGAUAUAUAGAUCCAUAUCAAAUGCAGCCUCUAUCUUUAUUUUAUUCCAGGGGGCAGCUUUAUAACAAGAAUCUAACUAAUAAAUAGUAUGGUAGAAAGAAAUAGAUGAAUCUUUCUACCAUACUAUCUAUCUAUUAGAAUACUGCCGAUUCUAGUCCACUCAUUUCAUUUAAGACAUGAAAUUGGAAUCUUUUUCAUUUUAUUUCGUCAAUUUUGGCUAAGAACUCAGAAGUCAAGUUUCAUUCAAAUUAGUUAAUAAUUAAUCGUUUUGACUGACUGUUUUUACAUAAAUGAUAAGUAGAAAAGCGGUAGGAACUAGAAUAAAUAGUGCAGUAGCAAUAAAUGCAAGAAUAUUUACUUCCAUAAUCUCAUCGGUUUUUUACUUCGCAAUAACUCGGGAUUUAAUCCCAUAGAGAUGAUAAAUCUUUGGCCUGUAAAUUCAAUGAAUGAAUAUUACCUCUCGAUGAUCUUGAAUCAGAUCAAUAUCAUGAAUAACAAUAUCUGAACUAUCAAAUAAAUUCGUCGUCGAGAAUUGAAUAGUAUAACAUAGGAAGUUCUUUUAUCCAUACCGCCCCAAACUCGGAUUGCUGACCUAACCCAAAAUUCCUUUAUUUAUUUAUCAUUUUUUAUUAUCUGUUCUUUUUUUCUCUCUAAUCUAUCUAGUUCCUUCUUGUACAAUCAUCUGAUGAAGUCUCAUCAAAUAGCUCUUCCACUUCCAGUGGUCACAUAGUUACAAACCCAAACAAACAAUAAAAGCUAAAUGGAAAAAGAAAGGAGUUUAGAACGAAACUAUUUUUGACUUGGAAGACAAAGAAGUGUGAUAAAGAUGAGACCGUAUAAAAUGAAUAUUCAUCAAAUUGACUAUUUUCCGAUUUGUUCGUUCGUCGAUGGGGCCUUAAAACAAAAUGAAAAAUAGGAAAAAUGAUUCAUUCGCCUUUCUAAGAGGAGUAGGAUCUUUGGUUGAUCUGUCCUUCCCCCUCCUUUCUUCGUCGAUUAUUAGCCCCGGGACACCUAUACCAAAAGCUCAGUGUGCAAUUUGCAUGAAAUCUAUUUUGCAACUUCAAACUAGUAAGUCAGGUUCCAUAAAUCCGUAGCCAGAAAAAGAAAUUGUUUUUUUUUUUUUUUGUUUUUUCUGGAAAGUAUUUUCUUAUAUUCAAUUUUGUAUUGGACAACAAAGGAAUUCCUUUUGUGUAUGCGCGCCUCAAAAAAGUAUAGUACUCGAUUCCAUUACAUGCAUCGGGGGCAAUCGAAAAAGCCAGCAUUUCUUGGAAUACUGACUAUAAUGCUACCAAUAAUUGUACUAAUCCAACCGCAUAUGUCUUUCUCCUACCAAAAGGAAAGAAAAAAGAAAUAAGGAUUUCCCCUUUGCUUUGACAAUGGAAUUCUUCCCCCGGUCCCCUUCAGAAAAAGGGAGAGAUUUUUUGAUAUAUUUAUUGGAUCCGUCGGGACUGACGGGGCUCGAACCCGCAGCUUCCGCCUUGACAGGGCGGUGCUCUGACCAAUUGAACUACAAUCCCAGGGAAAUACGGGAUCUAGCAGAAAAUUUGAUUCUUUUUUAUCUCCGGAUCGGGUAUUUCUGAAGUACAAAGGGAGUUAUAUCAUCUCAUGGCGGAUUGGCGAAUUAUUGGGCCGAGCUGGAUUUGAACCAGCGUAGACAUAUUGCCAACGAAUUUACAGUCCGUCCCCAUUAACCGCUCGGGCAUCGACCCAGGAAGAAUCAAUUUUCAACUUAUUGGUAAUCCAUGAUCAAUUUCCUUUCGUAGUACCCUACCCCCAGGGGAAUUCGAAUCCCCGCUGCCUCC